AUUGAACGCUGGCGGCAGGCCUAACACAUGCAAGUCGAGCGGCAGCGGAGAGUAGCUUGCUACUUUGCCGGCGAGCGGCGGACGGGUGAGUAAUGUCUGGGAAACUGCCUGAUGGAGGGGGAUAACUACUGGAAACGGUAGCUAAUACCGCAUAACGUCGCAAGACCAAAGAGGGGGACCUUCGGGCCUCUUGCCAUCAGACGUGCCCAGAUGGGAUUAGCUAGUAGGUGGGGUAACGGCUCACCUAGGCGACGAUCCCUAGCUGGUCUGAGAGGAUGACCAGCCACACUGGAACUGAGACACGGUCCAGACUCCUACGGGAGGCAGCAGUGGGGAAUAUUGCACAAUGGGCGCAAGCCUGAUGCAGCCAUGCCGCGUGUGUGAAGAAGGCCUUCGGGUUGUAAAGUACUUUCAGCGGGGAGGAAGGUGUUGAGGUUAAUAACCUCAGCAAUUGACGUUACCCGCAGAAGAAGCACCGGCUAACUCCGUGCCAGCCGCCGCCGUAACAC
rnacentral:rRNA from 1 species